rnacentral:rRNA from 1 species
AAUGAACGCUGGCGGCAUGCCUUACACAUGGAAGUCGAACGGCAGCAUGACCUAGCUUGCUAGGUUGAUGGCGAGUGGCGAACGGGUGAGUAAUGCAUCGGAACGUGCCUUUUAGUGGGGGAUAACGUAGCGAAAGUUACGCUAAUACCGCAUAUUCUCUGAGGAGGAAAGCAGGGGGCCUUCGGGCCUUGCGCUAGAAGAGCGGCCGAUGUCGGAUUAGCUAGUUGGUGAGGUAAAGGCUCACCAAGGCAACGAUCCGUAGCGGGUCUGAGAGGAUGAUCCGCCACACUGGGACUGAGACACGGCCCAGACUCCUACGGGAGGCAGCAGUGGGGAAUUUUGGACAAUGGGCGCAAGCCUGAUCCAGCCAUGCCGCGUGAGUGAAGAAGGCCUUCGGGUUGUAAAGCUCUUUCGGCUGGGAAGAAAUCGCACUCUCUAAUACAGGGUGUGGAUGACGGUACCAGCAUAAGAAGCACCGGCUAACUACGUG